rnacentral:rRNA from 1 species
CAUUACCGAGUGCGGGCCCUCGUGGCCCAACCUCCCACCCUUGUCUCUAUACACCUGUUGCUUUGGCGGGCCCACCGGGGCCACCUGGUCGCCGGGGGACAUCUGUCCCCGGGCCCGCGCCCGCCGAAGCGCUCUGUGAACCCUGAUGAAGAUGGGCUGUCUGAGUACUAUGAAAAUUGUCAAAACUUUCAACAAUGGAUCUCUUGGUUCCGGCAUCGAUGAAGAACGCAGCGAAAUGCGAUAAGUAAUGUGAAUUGCAGAAUUCCGUGAAUCAUCGAAUCUUUGAACGCACAUUGCGCCCCCUGGCAUUCCGGGGGGCAUGCCUGUCCGAGCGUCAUUUCUGCCCUCAAGCACGGCUUGUGUUUGGGUGCGGUCCCCCCGGGGACCUGCCCGAAAGGCAGCGGCGACGUCCGUCUGGUCCUCGAGCGUAUGGGGCUUUGUCACUCGCUCGGGAAGGACUGGCGGGGGUUGGUCACCACCAAAAUUUUACCACGGUUGACCUCGGAUCAGGGUAGGAGUUACCCGCUGAACUUAAGCAUAUCAAUAAGCGGAGGAAAAGAAACCAACCGGGAUUGCCUCAGUAACGGCGAGUGAAGCGGCAAGAGCUCAAAUUUGAAAUCUGGCCCCCUCGGGGGUCCGAGUUGUAAUUUGCAGAGGAUGCUUUCGGGGUGCGGUCCCCCAUCUAAGUG